rnacentral:lncRNA from 1 species
UUGGCAUCUGGUAUCCAUGUUUCUCUUUGUUUUAGGAGACUAGUAUAAGUCCAUUGAUUGGCAUCUGGUAUCCUUGUUUCUUUGCUUUGUGAGACUAGUAUAAGUCCAUUGAUUGGCAUCUGGUAUCCUUGUUUCUUUGCUUUGUGAGACUAGUAUAAGUCCAUUGAUUGGCAUCUGGUAUCCAUGUUCCAUUUUGUUUUGUGAGAUUGGUAUAAGUCCAUUGAUUGGCGUCCGGUAUCCAUUUUGUUUU